rnacentral:rRNA from 1 species
UACAGAGGUGGCAAGCGUUGUUCGGAAUUACUGGGCGUAAAGGGCGCGUAGGCGGCCUCCUAAGUCAGACGUGAAAUCCCCCGGCUUAACCUGGGAACUGCGUCUGAUACUGGGAGGCUAGAGUGCGGGAGAGGGAUGCGGAAUUCCAGGUGUAGCGGUGAAAUGCGUAGAUAUCUGGAGGAACACCGGUGGCGAAGGCGGCAUCCUGGACCGACACUGACGCUGAGGCGCGAAAGCGUGGGUAGCAAACAGG